UUGCACCACGCGUACAUUCCGGUUCCGAGCGCGCCCUCCAUCGCUACCUGCCCGCGGCUCGCGACGUUCUGGGCC
rnacentral:sRNA from 1 species